AGCGAACGCUGGCGGCAGGCUUAACACAUGCAAGUCGAGCGGGCAUCCUUGUGGUGUCAGCGGCAGACGGGUGAGUAACGCGUGGGAACGUGCCCUUCGGUUCGGAAUAACUCAGGGAAACUUGAGCUAAUACCGGAUACGUGCGAGAGCAGAAAGGUUUAUCUGCCGAAGGAUCGGCCCGCGUCUGAUUAGCUAGUUGGUGAGGUUAUGGCUCACCAAGGCGACGAUCAGUAGCUGGUCUGAGAGGAUGAUCAGCCACACUGGGACUGAGACACGGCCCAGACUCCUACGGGAGGCAGCAGUGGGGAAUAUUGGACAAUGGGGGCAACCCUGAUCCAGCCAUGCCGCGUGAGUGAUGACGGCCUUAGGGUUGUAAAGCUCUUUUCUUCGGGACGAUAAUGACGGUACCGGAGGAAUAAGCCCCGGCUAACUUCGG
rnacentral:rRNA from 1 species